UACGAGGGGGGCUAGCGUUGCUCGGAAUGACUGGGCGUAAAGGGCGCGUAGGCGGCUUGCACCGUCAGAUGUGAAAUUCCUGGGCUUAACCUGGGGGCUGCAUUUGAUACGUGUGGGCUUGAGUGCGGAAGAGGGUCGUGGAAUUCCCAGUGUAGAGGUGAAAUUCGUAGAUAUUGGGAAGAACACCGGUGGCGAAGGCGGCGACCUGGUCCGUGACUGACGCUGAGGCGCGAAAGCGUGGGGAGCAAACGGG
rnacentral:rRNA from 1 species